AUUGAACGCUGGCGGCGUGCUUAACACAUGCAAGUCGUACGAGAACUCUUCAGCUUGCUGAAGAUAGUAAAGUGGCGCACGGGUGAGUAACACGUGGGUAAUUUACCUUUAAGUCCGGGACAACACUGCGAAAGCGGUGCUAAUACCGGAUAAUAUCGGUGGGGCUCCGGCCCUGUUGAUCAAAGGUGGCCUCUACAUGUAAGCCUCUGCUUGAAGAAAAGCCCGGGUACCAUUAGCUUGUUGGUGAGGUAACGGCCCACCAAGGCGACGAUGGUUAGCUGGUCUGAGAGGAUGGCCAGCCACACUGGAACUGAGACACGGUCCAGACUCCUACGGGAGGCAGCAGUGAGGAAUUUUGCGCAAUGGGGGAAACCCUGACGCAGCAACGCCGCGUGAGUGAAGAAGGCCCUUGGGUCGUAAAGCUCUGUCAAGUGGAAAGAAAGCACAUUUUACAAAUAGUGAGAUGUGUUGACGGUACCGCUAAAGGAAGCACCGGCUAACUCCGUGCCAGCAGCCGCCGUAAAAC
rnacentral:rRNA from 1 species